rnacentral:rRNA from 1 species
ACCUACGGGUGGCUGCAGUCGAGAAUCUUCCGCAAUGGACGAAAGUCUGACGGAGCGACGCCGCGUGCUGGAUGAAGGCCCUCGGGUUGUAAACAGCUGUCGUAGGGGAGGAAAUUUUGACCGAUCCUAGGAGGAAGCACAGGCUAAGUUCGUGCCAGCAGCCGCGGUAAUACGAACUGUGCAAACGUUAUUCGGAAUCACUGGGCUUAAAGGGUGCGUAGGCGGGUUGGUAGGUCAGAUGUGAAAGCCCACGGCUCAACCGUGGAAUUGCGUUUGAAACCACUAGUCUUGAGGGGAUCAGAGGAGAGCGGAACUGAUGGUGGAGCGGUGAAAUGCGUUGAUAUUAUCAGGAACACCGGUGGCGAAAGCGGCUCUCUGGGAUCCUUCUGACGCUGAGGCACGAAAGCUAGGGGAGCGAACGGGAUUAGAUACCCCGGUAGUCCUAGCUGUAAACGAUCUGUACUAGUCCGUGGGGACCCCCACAUCUUCUCGGACGUAGCGAAAGUGUUAAGUACAGCGCCUGGGGAGUAUGGUCGCAAGGCUGAAACUCAAAGGAAUUGACGGGGGCUCACACAAGCGGUGGAGGAUGUGGCUUAAUUCGAGGCUACGCGAAGAACCUUACCUAGACUUAACAUGUUUGAGAAUCUCUGUGAAAGCAGAGAGUGCCUUUCGGGGAACUCUUACGUAGGUGCUGCAUGGCUGUCGUCAGCUCGUGUCGUGAGAUGUCGGGUUAAGUCCCUUAACGAGCGAAACCCUUAUCUUCAGUUGCCAGCGAGUAAUGUCGGGGACUCUGGAGAGACUGCCGGUGUUAAACCGGAGGAAGGUGGGGAUGACGUCAAGUCCUCAUGGCCUUUAUGUCUAGGGCUGCACACGUCCUACAAUGCAACGUACAAAGCGACGCGAAAUCGCGAGAUCAAGCAAACCGCACAAAACGUUGCCCAGUUCGGAUUGCAGGCUGAAAUUCGCCUGCAUGAAGCCGGAAUCGCUAGUAAUCGUAGGUCAGCAUACUACGGUGAAUGUGUUCCUGAGCCUUGUACACACCGCCCGUCAAGCCACGAAAGUUGGGGGGGCCCGAAGUCGCGAUGCUAACCGCAAGGAGGCUAGCGCCGAAGGUCAACUCGAUGAUUGGGACUAAGUCGUAACAAGGUAGCCGUAGGGGAACCUGCGGCUGGAUCACCUCCUUU